GAUGAACGCUGGCGGCGUGCCUAAUACAUGCAAGUCGAGCGAACAGACGAGGAGCUUGCUCCUCUGACGUUAGCGGCGGACGGGUGAGUAACACGUGGAUAACCUACCUAUAAGACUGGGAUAACUUCGGGAAACCGGAGCUAAUACCGGAUAAUAUAUUGAACCGCAUGGUUCAAUAGUGAAAGACGGUUUUGCUUUCACUUAUAGAUGGAUCCGCGCCGCAUUAGCUAGUUGGUAAGGUAACGGCUUACCAAGGCAACGAUGCGUAGCCGACCUGAGAGGGUGAUCGGCCACACUGGAACUGAGCCACGGUCCAGACUCCUACGGGAGGCAGCAGUAGGGAAUCUUCCGCAAUGGGCGAAAGCCUGACGGAGCAACGCCGCGUGAGUGAUGAAGGUCUUCGGAUCGUAAAACUCUGUUAUUAGGGAAGAACAAAUGUGUAAGUAACUAUGCACGUCUUGACGGUACCUAAUCAGAAAGCCACGGCUAACUACGUG
rnacentral:rRNA from 1 species